UUCGUUCUUUUUUUUUCGUUUUUUUUUUCGUUCUUUUUUUUUUGAAACACGUGGGCUUCGCCUAACGAGCAUGACAGUUCAAGAAAUUGCUCUGAGCAUAGGUGAUUCUGGUGGCUUUUCUUGGGACUCGCUAGGCGACCCAUUCUGCUCGCCUGGCGAGCAUGACAGCUAAUGAACAAACUUUUGCUCCUUCGAGAUUAACGU
rnacentral:lncRNA from 1 species